rnacentral:tRNA from 1 species
GGGUCGUUAGCUCAGUCGGUAGAGCAGUUGAUUUUUAAUCAAUGGGUCGCAGGUUCGAGCCG